rnacentral:rRNA from 1 species
AAUAGAUACCCCGGUAGUCCACGCCGUAAACGAUGAGUGCUAAGUGUUAGAGGGUUUCCGCCCUUUAGUGCUGCAGCUAACGCAUUAAGCACUCCGCCUGGGGAGUACGGCCGCAAGGCUGAAACUCAAAGGAAUUGACGGGGGCCCGCACAAGCGGUGGAGCAUGUGGUUUAAUUCGAAGCAACGCGAAGAACCUUACCAGGUCUUGACAUCCUCUGCCAACCCUAGAGAUAGGGCGUUCCCCUUCGGGGGACAGAGUGACAGGUGGUGCAUGGUUGUCGUCAGCUCGUGUCGUGAGAUGUUGGGUUAAGUCCCGCAACGAGCGCAACCCUUGAUCUUAGUUGCCAGCAUUCAGUUGGGCACUCUAAGGUGACUGCCGGUGACAAACCGGAGGAAGGUGGGGAUGACGUCAAAUCAUCAUGCCCCUUAUGACCUGGGCUACACACGUGCUACAAUGGAUGGUACAAAGAGCUGCGAACCCGCGAGGGUAAGCCAAUCUCAUAAAGCCAUUCUCAGUUCGGA